rnacentral:rRNA from 1 species
AUUGAACGCUGGCGGCAUGCUUUACACAUGCAAGUCGAACGGUAACAGGCCGCAAGGUGCUGACGAGUGGCGAACGGGUGAGUAAUGCAUCGGAACGUGCCCAGUCGUGGGGGAUAACGCAGCGAAAGCUGCGCUAAUACCGCAUACGAUCUAUGGAUGAAAGCGGGGGACCGUAAGGCCUCGCGCGAUUGGAGCGGCCGAUGUCAGAUUAGGUAGUUGGUGGGGUAAAGGCUCACCAAGCCAACGAUCUGUAGCUGGUCUGAGAGGACGACCAGCCAAACUGGGACUGAGGCACGGCCCAGACUCCUACGGGAGGCAGCAGUGGGGAAUUUUGGACAAUGAGCGCAAGCCUGAUCCAGCAAUGCCGCGUGCAGGAAGAAGGCCUUCGGGUUGUAAACUGCUUUUGUACGGAACGAAACGGCUCUCACUAAUACUGGGGGCUAAUGACGGUACCGUAAGAAUAAGCACCGGCUAACUACGUGCCAGCAGCCGCAGUAAAAC